rnacentral:lncRNA from 1 species
UGCCAUAUGGAGAUGGGUGACACCGAUUAAGAAGUCGCAGCCUUCAGCUCAUGAUGUUUUCGUUGGCAACUGGAAGCCGACUAAGAACGACACCCUGUCAAAGCGUGUUCCCGGGUUUGGCUCGACAAUGAACCUUCUCUAUGGUGACAGCGUUUGCGGCCAGGGGGAUAUCGAUCCCAUGAACAGCAUCAUCUCACACUACCUUUACUACCUUGACUUGAUGGGUAUAGGCCGGGAGGAUGCCGGGACUCAUGAUGUCUUGACUUGCGAGGAGCAAGCUCCAUUCAACCCACCAAAGGCCAAGCCUAGUCAAUCCUCGUAAGCAGCUGCUUUCUAUAUUUCUUGUACUGGUCAGGUUCUAAAUAAACGGUAGCGUGGCGCUGAUCUUGAACCGUGUUUUGCUUUGUCUGUUUGUGGGUCUGUCCAUAGCCACUACUGUGCGUGUUUGUGUAUGUAGAGUUCUAGAUUCAUUGUGUCUAUAAAUAUACUUUUGAACGAGGUUGAAUUUACGAAUUGGAUUUGAAUGUAACGAUGCUUUUGUUAUAAUAUUGUAAUUUGUCAGUUAAAAAGUGAGCAUACGCUGUUAUGAGUUCAUGUUGUCAUGUGAUUUUUCUCUUUUCAACCCUGAACCUUUAUUUCAAAGUAGAUGCGCAAGAGCACAAAAAGUCACAACUAUGGUAAACAUAUAAUAUCAAACCCCAGAAAAAGCUUUGACCAUGUUGCUUUCUCCCUUAUCCUUGGUGUUGUUCUUCAUCAACAAGCUCUUCAGGGGCUUCAAUGGCACCAGUUCGGAAUGUGAACAUUCCCACUGCAUACCUCACUUCUUCUCCGCUCACCAUCACCCUAUGGUAACACAGACUUGAUUCUGUCGUUGCUCCAUGCCUGUCCCAACAAAAAAAUAGAACUCAGAUUGAAGACAGAAACAAAUUAUCAACACAAUUAAGAAUUUAUGAGCUAGGCGUACCAUGAUUGCAUCACCGGCGAGCACAAGAAACGAAGACAUAGAUGCAGGCUGGUAGCAAACCCAUCGACCACCGUCGUCGUCAUUCACCCGGACCUCCAACCCAUGAACAUGAUUCUGGUGAAGAAUGGACACGAAGCUCUUGUCCGUGUGCCCUUUGAAUCCAAGAUUGGUUUCAGAUCGGGACCUUCUGUACCUCAGCAGCCGCAGAAGGUAAGCGGUGGCACUUGAGUGAGCCUCAAACUUGGAUUCCUAGACCAUCCCAUAACUCUGAAACAGCAUCCUCACCACCAGCUUCUCCAACUCCGCUGCCAUCUUCGCGUAACCAUGCAUCACUUCGCAGAAAUUAAAGUUUCCUCGAGGCCACAUAAGGUUCGUGAAAUCCUCACAGGCCUCCCUAUUGUCUGCGUACUCGAUCUCGAGGCCUUCGUGGAUGGGGAGAACAAAUAGUUUGCCCAUGUAGCCAGUGAGCCGGUUUUGGGUUGACGUUCCUCAUCUUGGUUUCUUGUGGGAGGCUGAACAGUUGCUCCAGUGAUUCCAGAAUGGAGUUGUGGAAUUCAGGUGAUGGUUGUGGUACACGAUUUCGAGGCAUCCGUAGCCUUCCAUGGCUCUUCUGAUCUAAGUGCAGAGCAGGGGAUCCAGUAAGCAGAGAUUCUCCAGAUAGAUCAACCUUUGGGAUUCUGGAAUCUGUAGUCUCUUCCGAACCCAUUUGCUAUUUAUAUCUAUGUCUGUUUCUCUUUCGUUUUGUGUUCACUUCUCCAUAAUCCUUUCUUGUACUGGACUCUUUUAUAGGCAUUCGUCAACUGUUUUGAAAGAUCGAGAUGACACAAGUAAAAUUAAUCAUCAACCCAUCCCGUGACAUCGGUAUGUUAACUAAAAUUAUUAAGGUACGGAAUUCAUAUUUAUAAUGAUGGCAAGGACAACUGUCGAUAAUCAUCCAAUAAUUACAUUUUUUAUAGGACGAAAACGAUGAUGACAUAAACAACACUAAACUGUUCUAUCAUGACAGCAGAUGCUAAACUUGCAAGCAAGUGGCUCUGUCAGAGUUAGCGAUAGGGAGGUUGACGAAUUAAACAUUACAUUUUAUAGUUCGGUCCAGUAAUAUUUUGAAAACUUAUCCUCAUAUAUUCAUACACUAUAUAACCAAAUAUCUUAUAGGAACAUUUCAGGGGAGAUUCACGAACACUUUGAUCUCAUAAUGAAUUCAUAAUGAAUUCCACUCGUAGCGAGGUAGGCUCGGCUCGUCCACCAGCUCUGCCGGUUGUGGACUUGUCAGGUGAAAACCUGAAUCCAGGAUCGAGCAGUUGGAGGAAAACCUGUGUCGAUGUCCGGGAAGCUCUGGAACAGCACGGGUGUUUCACGGUCGAGAACUAUCGUAAAACCCGAGGCUGUGAGUGUCUGCGGGGAAGCUCUGGUGGCGCUGAAGGAGUUGUUCGAUCCCCCCACUCGGCACCAAAAUGAAAAACAAGUAUGAAGAGCCAGGGCACGGUUAUGUGGGACAGAUUGCCAAACUUCCUCUCCAUGAAAGCAUGGGCAUCCACAAUGCAUCUCGAUCCGAUGCCAUAGCUGAUUUCACCGCUCUCAUGUGGCCUCAUCGCGGAAACCACUGCUUCAGGUAUUUAUAUUCUGUAAUGCUUCAGGUAUUUGUAUUAUAUGGGCAAAUUGAAGAACACUUUCUUAGAGUUACGUUUACAGACUAAACUAGUAUGAGAUCUUCUGGUAAGGAAUUAAAAUAAUACUAACCCAACAGUUAAUCCAAAAUAAUACAUAACAAUUCCACUCUUUCUGGCAGGGAGAAAGUGGAUAGAUACGCGAAGCUAGCAUCAGAGCUAGACAAAACAGUGACGAGGAUGAUAUUCGAAAGCUACGGAAUCGAUCAGAAGCACCACGACGCCUACGUGGAGUCCACGAGCCAUCUACUCCGGCCGCUGAAGAACAGAGCUCCGGUCGGAGACGAACCUCAUUUGGGGUUCGUCAGUCACACCGACAAGAGUUUCACUACCAUACUCCAUCAGAACCAGGUAGAGGGUCUGGAGAUCUACGCCGUUAAUAACAUCAACGGCUGUAACAAGAUCAGCGUCACAUUUUCAUCCCCGGCUUCGUUCGUGGUCGUAGCCGGAGAUGCCUUGAUGGCGUGGAGCAACGACAGGAUAAUUUCUCCGACGCACAGAGUGAUAAUGAACGGGGAAGUGGACAGAUACUCGAUGGGGCUGUUCGGGUUCAGCAAAGGGAUGAUUCAAGUGCCUCAAGAGUUUGUUGAUGAACAGCAUCCGUUGAGGUACAUGCCGUUCGAUCAUCUUGGACUGCUUCGCUUCUUCCGUACUGAGGAAGGUUGCAAGUCCUAGUGUCCUGUCAAGGCAUACUGUGGCAUUUGAUUCACUCUGUGGUUUGUAGCCUUUGACUGAGAAGGCCGAAUAAAUGUUAGCACCAAACGUUAUGGUGGACAUGUCCAAACUUUAAGUUCGCUUGUAUAUGGAAUAAUGGAUGUUGAAAUUGUAUUUUACGGGUAGUUUGUUUUCGAGAUUGAAUUUUUUGAAUAAUUGGAGUUUUUGCUUGAAUUUGUGAGGUUCAAUUUGGAAAAUGGACGACUGGUUAGAGACUGACUGAAACUCUCUUCCGAUUCUGUUGAGUUGGUUAACUAGAGUUGCUGUGUACAAUAUUACAGCGAUUGCUGGAAUGGUGUGUUCAAUUUGUAAUGGCUGCUUGGUUAGACUACUUAGGGAUGAACUGAUGAUGGCUAAUCAAGUAGCUACUUACUGACUGAUAAUAAAGUUGCUAUGUUGUAUGUGAUUAGUAGCUAAUGAAUUAGUACUUUGUACUUUGUUUUCUGUAGGUGGUUAUGGAGUGGCAACCGGAGGGAUCACCGCCUGGGGUCUAUGCUACAACAGGGAAAUGAGCCCUUCACAGUCCUACUGUGAUGGCUACUGCAAAGAUACAUAUCCUUGUUCUCCUGGAGCUGAUUACUAUGGCCGCGGUGCCAUUCCGAUUUACUGGUUACUACUUCGUCUCUCUUUGCUUCACAUCUCAAUUCUCACUUGAUCAUGUAAUUCCUGUUCUUUUCAUUCCAAUUUGCAUUCAACUGAUAAGCAAGGUGCAGCUUUUGGAAAACUUAUUGCUGUCAUUUUAGCUUGCUUCUUUGAUGGUUAUUAACAAGAAAGCGUUUGGAAAGGGCAUUCAUGUGGUUCUCUUUCCACCUAUGUUUGUAUCACUCAACCAUAUUCUCAACUUCUAUCAAUUACGAGUUGAGAACGUAUUUUUGGGUCGUUAUAAUAGCUCUGCUUCGGACUGCAGAUAUACUUAUUCUGCUUUGAUUUUCAGGAAUUAUAACUAUGGUACCGUUGGAGAAGCUAUCAAGGAGGAUUUGUUGAACCAUCCCGAGUACAUUGAGCAAAAUGCUACGCUUGCUUUCCAGGCUGCCAUAUGGAGAUGGAUGACCCCAAUCAAGAAGUCGCAACCUUCAGCUCAUGAUGUCUUCGUUGAAACUGGAAGCUGACUAAGAACGACACCCUGUCGAAGCGCGUUCCUGGUUUUUGGCUCAACAAUGAACAUUCUAUAUGGUGACAGCGUUUGCGGCCAGGGUGUUAUUGAUGACAUGAACAGCAUUAUCUCCCAUUACCUUUACUACCUUGACUUGAUGGGUGUAGGCCGGGAGGAUGCUGGGACUCAUGAUGUCCUCACUUGUGAGGACCAAGCUCUAUUCAACCCACCAAAGGCCAAACCUAGUCAAGCCUCGUAAGCAGCACCAAAUUUCUUGUACAGGUCAGGUUCCCAAUAAAGGCUGAUCUUGAGCUAUGUUUGCUUCAUCUAUUCGUGAGUGCGUCCAUGGUGUCCGGUACUACUACUGUGUGUUUGUGUAGAGUUCCAGAUUCAUUGCGUCUAUAAAUAUAUUUUGGAACGAGGUUGAAUGAUGAACUGAAUGCAACACUUGGUUAUUUAGUACAAUGCUGUAAUUUGGCCAAGUUCAUGAGUUGAAAUUGUCAUGUUCUUGUUCAUCUGGUUUCUCCUCCUUUUUAACAUUUUGUGAUGCGGACAAAGUGUUGACUUGGAAGUAUUGUGAUCGUCAAUCAUCUUCUACACUAAUGACACAUGUAUGCAUAGUAAGCUGAGCUUGUCUUUCCUCAGCUAUUGUCUCUCGUGUAAUACAGUGAAUAUACUAUUAUUCCAUCAUUGCAAUUAUCGCGUUUGUGUUUGCCUUUUUAAUUAUUACAGUUACAUAGACAAGGAAUUGCUUCCCCUAUGCGGCCCUCCUAUUAAGAAUUGACAGAAAAGCUUCAAAACCCGCAUUAUUCUGAUUAAUUAUUCUUCUAUAUUCGCCUUUCUAGUGUGCCUGUACUUAUUAUUGGCCAUGGGGAUGCU